rnacentral:rRNA from 1 species
AAUGAACGCUGGCGGCGUGGAUAAGACAUGCAAGUCGAACGGAGAAAUUACUAGUUUACUAAUAAUUUCUUAGUGGCGGACGGGUUAGUAACACGUGAGCAACUUACCUCAAAGUGGGGGAUAGCCUUCCGAAAGGGAGAUUAAUACCGCAUGUGGUCUUCGGACUAAAGCUAGCUUCGGCUGGUGCUUUGAGAUAGGCUCGCGUCCUAUCAGCUAGUUGGUGAGGUAAUGGCUCACCAAGGCGACGACGGGUAGCUGUUCUGAGAGGAAGAUCAGCAACACUGGAACUGAGACACGGUCCAG